UACGAAGGGGGCUAGCGUUGCUCGGAAUCACUGGGCGUAAAGCGCACGUAGGCGGAUCUUUAAGUCAGGGGUGAAAUCCUGGAGCUCAACUCCAGAACUGCCUUUGAUACUGAGGAUCUUGAGUCCGGGAGAGGUGAGUGGAACUCCGAGUGUAGAGGUGAAAUUCGUAGAUAUUCGGAAGAACACCAGUGGCGAAGGCGACUUACUGGACGACUGUUGACGCUUAGGUGCGAAAGCGUGGGGAGCAAACAGG
rnacentral:rRNA from 1 species